UGGGGAAUAUUGCACAAUGGGGGAAACCCUGAUGCAGCGACGCAGCGUGCGGGAUGACGGCCUUCGGGUUGUAAACCGCUUUCAGCAGGGAAGAAGCCUCACGGUGACGGUACCUGCAGAAGAAGUACCGGCUAACUACGUGCCAGCAGCCGCGGUAAUACGUAGGGUACGAGCGUUGUCCGGAAUUAUUGGGCGUAAAGAGCUCGUAGGUGGUUGGUCACGUCUGCUGUGGAAACGCAACGCUUAACGUUGCGCGUGCAGUGGGUACGGGCUGACUAGAGUGCAGUAGGGGAGUCUGGAAUCCCUGGUGUAGCGGUGAAAUGCGCAGAUAUCAGGAGGAACACCGGUGGCGAAGGCGGGACUCUGGGCUGUAACUGACACUGAGGAGCGAAAGCAUGGGGAGCGAACA
rnacentral:rRNA from 1 species